AGUCUGUUGCUGGCCUUCUGGCAUGUGCACGUCUUUUUCGGAAUCUAUUCAUCCACCUGUGCACUUUUUGUAGAAGUUCUUUUUGUGAGGUUUUGGUUGCAGACUUGUCUGCAGUUGACUCUUCGCAGAGAGGCUUCUAUGUCUUACAAACUCUUAGUAUGUUUUAGAAUGUCUUUUACUGGGACUUAACUGGCCCUUUAAACUUUAUACAACUUUCAGCAACGGAUCUCUUGGCUCUCCCAUCGAUGAAGAACGCAGCGAAAUGCGAUAAGUAAUGUGAAUUGCAGAAUUCAGUGAAUCAUCGAAUCUUUGAACGCACCUUGCGCCCUUUGGUAUUCCGAAGGGCAUGCCUGUUUGAGUGUCAUUAAAUUCUCAACUUCAAAAGUUUUAUAGCUUAUUGAAGCUUGGAUGUGGGAGCUUGCUGGCGUCUUAGAUGUUCGGCUCUCCUUAAAUGCAUUAGUGGAAACUCGUUUGUUGGACCACCCUUGGUGUGAUAAUUAUCUACGCCUUGGUCAGUUCGACAGCUUUGUUCGAUCGUCUUCAGACGCUCUUUUUCGAGUGUUCUGGUUGGGGUGGCUGCGUUAAUUCGCUCUGCCUGCAUAAGAUCUUAUAGAGUAGGGACGUCUGCUUUCUACCGUCUGGGU
rnacentral:rRNA from 1 species